rnacentral:rRNA from 1 species
CCUACGGGAGGCAGCAGUGGGGAAUAUUGGGCAAUGGGCGAAAGCCUGACCCAGCGACGCCGCGUGAACGAAGAAGUAUUUCGGUAUGUAAAGUUCUAUCAGCAGGGAAGAAAAUGACGGCACCUGACUAAGAAGCACCGGCUAAAUACGUGCCAGCAGCCGCGGUAAU